rnacentral:lncRNA from 1 species
GCAAAGAAGAGUCAUUUACAAGUUUUAUUAACACUCUAAACUCUAGGCAGUUGCUGCUAUUUAACAUGUCAUGUUUUCAUUUGGUUGGUUUUUUGAAAUUUAAAAAUCAGUAGUUAGGUGGUUAGCUUUUACUUUUAAUCUAAAGUACAUCUCCGCCAUACAUCUUUUAAUCCGACGAACCCCAUCGGAACAGUCAAUCUCGGAGUUCCUCCUUGGCUACAUAGCAUGAACCGAUAGAGCUCCGCCGUUGAGCCUCCUGUAAAUCACGAUCUCCACCGUAAAUAUUUUCUUUUUUCAAGCUUCUCCUCCGAUGUGUGGCAUGAACCACUAGAGGCCAGUCGUUGAGCCUAUGGUGAACUGCGAUCUCCCUCUAUCUCGGACUUAGUUCUUCAUCCUUGUUGUUCCAUGUGAUGAAGAGGAAGUCGCCAAGCUCUCGUCGGACACAAGCUCUCGUCAGGGACAAGCUCUCGUCGGAGAGUCCGACAGUCGUCCCCGUCAGUGCUAGGUCGUCACUCUCCUCACCCUCGUGGUUCAUCUUCCUCUGCGUUUUCAAGUUGGUGACUCAUAAACCUCUGUCGUGCCUUCUUUCAUGAGCGUCUGAAACCCCUCAUCGUCACCGGGUCAUUCCGAAGCGAUCCACCACCUAUUAAUGAUUCACCACCGCUGGUCUCUUAUUCAACCAGGCUCAAUCGGCUCCGUGACCUACUGCUCCUCUGCAACAGUCAGCGAACCACACCGGGACAUGACCUGUGGAACCACAAAGGGAUCCAUUCCCAAAUCAAGUUUCUGAUAUUUGUACGACUGGUCCUUUAGAUUUAGAAUAUUUACAAUUUGGCCUUAAAACUUCUUCUUUUGCAAAGUUACUUUUCAAUUUCGCACAAACUUCCAAAAGAGCAAAGUUAGCCUCUACUUUACUCAAAUUAGUAUGCAUAUACAAAAUUAACACCCAAAUGCAAUGUAAAUGGUUAAAUGCGGUGGUGUGUACAUAUAAUCGAAAGUGAUAACAAUAGAGGUGCACAAUGUGGUGGUGUACACAAAGAAGUGUGCACAUGUGUACUAUGUUGCAUGUUUAUCCACGUGUACAAUGUGGCAAUGUAUCAAGCUAUCCGUAUUUGAAUAUGUAUAUUUGUAUUACGCUACCAGUGUAUCAAGUUAUAUACAUGCAC